rnacentral:rRNA from 1 species
AACGAACGCUGGCGGCGCGCCUAAUACAUGUAAGUCGAGCGAGAAGACGUAGCAAUACGUUUGUAAAGCGGCGAACGGGUGAGGAAUACAUGGGUAACCUACCCUCGAGUGGGGAAUAACUAGCCGAAAGGUUAGCUAAUACCGCGUACGCUCCUUGGACUUCGGUUCAGGGAGGAAAGCGAUACCGUGGGUAUCGCGCUCUUGGAUGGGCUCAUGUCCUAUCAGCUUGUUGGUGAGGAACGGCUCACCAAGGCUUCGACGGGUAGCUGGUCUGAGAGGACAAUCAGCCACACUGGCACUGCGACACGGGCCAGACUCCUACGGGAGGCAGCAGUAAGGAAUAUUGCGCAAUGGGCGAAAGCCUGA